GAGUAGUAUCCUUCUCAGUUUCAUUUCCAAUUCUGUUCACGAUCUUUCUCCUACAGUUGGUAUACUUUCUUUCUUGGAAAGUAACUAAUGGAUUUUCUGUUGCUCCUUUGUGGUUUUCAUGAUCAAAUUUGCAUAGGAAAUUUUAUCUAAUCUUAAUAGUUGCAGUUGCAUUUAUUAUAUAAUAAUUUUUUUCAUGGUUUAGAUGUUUUUGUUUCCUUUUGUAAGUUUUGUGACUAGAAUUAGGAGAGCAAUCUGUUUUUAAAUGUUGAUUGGAUUAGGAAUGACCUGGAUGCUAUAAUUAUGUAUCUAGUUCCAAUCAUCAGCAAUAGGAUAUGUGUAUCUGUGUGUGUGUGUG
rnacentral:misc_RNA from 1 species